rnacentral:rRNA from 1 species
GUACUUAAUGAAUAAGCUCCGGCUAACUACGUGCCAGCAGCCGCGGUAAUACGUAGGGAGCAAGCGUUAUCCGGAUUUACUGGGUGUAAAGGGAGCGUAGACGGCAAGGCAAGUCUGAUGUGAAAACCCAGGGCUUAACCCUGGGACUGCAUUGGAAACUGUCUGGCUCGAGUGCCGGAGAGGUAAGCGGAAUUCCUAGUGUAGCGGUGAAAUGCUUAGAUAUCACGAAGAACUCCGAUUGCGAAGGCAGCUCACUAGACUGUCACUGACACUGAUGCUCGAAAGUGUGGGUAUCAAACAGGAUUAGAUACCCUGGUAGUCCACACAGUAAACGAUGAAUACUCGCUGUUUGCGAUAUACAGUAAGCGGCCAAGCGAAAGCAUUAAGUAUUCCACCUGGGGAGUACGCCGGCAACGGUGAAACUCAAAGGAAUUGACGGGGGCCCGCACAAGCGGAGGAACAUGUGGUUUAAUUCGAUGAUACGCGAGGAACCUUACCCGGGCUUAAAUUGCAACAGAAUAUAUUGGAAACAGUAUAGCCGUAAGGCUGUUGUGAAGGUGCUGCAUGGUUGUCGUCAGCUCGUGCCGUGAGGUGUCGGCUUAAGUGCCAUAACGAGCGCAACCCUUAUCUUUAGUUACUAACAGGUUAUGCUGAGGACUCUAGAGAGACUGCCGUCGUAAGAUGUGAGGAAGGUGGGGAUGACGUCAAAUCAGCACGGCCCUUACGUCCGGGGCUACACACGUGUUACAAUGGGGGGUACAGAAGGCGGCUACCUGGUGACAGGAUGCUAAUCCCAAAAACCUCUCUCAGUUCGGAUCGAAGUCUGCAACCCGACUUCGUGAAGCUGGAUUCGCUAGUAAUCGCGCAUCAGCCAUGGCGCGGUGAAUACGUUCCCGGGCCUUGCACACACCGCCCGUCAAG